AGAGUUUGAUCCUGGCUCAGAUUGAACGCUGGCGGCAGGCCUAACACAUGCAAGUCGAACGGUAACAUUUCUAGCUUGCUAGAAGAUGACGAGUGGCGGACGGGUGAGUAAUGCUUGGGAACUUGCCUUUGCGAGGGGGAUAACAGUUGGAAACGACUGCUAAUACCGCAUAAUGUCUUCGGACCAAACGGGGCUUCGGCUCCGGCGCAAAGAGAGGCCCAAGUGAGAUUAGCUAGUUGGUAAGGUAACGGCUUACCAAGGCGACGAUCUCUAGCUGUUCUGAGAGGAAGAUCAGCCACACUGGGACUGAGACACGGCCCAGACUCCUACGGGAGGCAGCAGUGGGGAAUAUUGCACAAUGGGGGAAACCCUGAUGCAGCCAUGCCGCGUGUGUGAAGAAGGCCUUCGGGUUGUAAAGCACUUUCAGUUGUGAGGAAAAGUUAGUAGUUAAUACCUGCUAGCCGUGACGUUAACAACAGAAGAAGCACCGGCUAACUCCGUGCCGGCAGCCGCGGUAAUACGGAGGGUGCGAGCGUUAAUCGGAAUUACUGGGCGUAAAGCGCACGCAGGCGGUUUGUUAAGCUAGAUGUGAAAGCCCCGGGCUCAACCUGGGAUGGUCAUUUAGAACUGGCAGACUAGAGUCUUGGAGAGGGGAGUGGAAUUCCAGGUGUAGCGGUGAAAUGCGUAGAUAUCUGGAGGAACAUCAGUGGCGAA
rnacentral:rRNA from 1 species